rnacentral:rRNA from 1 species
ACGUAUGGUGCAAGCGUUGUUCGGAAUCAUUGGGCGUAAAGGGUAUGUAGGCGGAUAUGUAAGUCAGAUGUGAAAACUACGAGCUCAACUCGUAGCCUGCAUUUGAUACUGUGUAUCUAGAAUUUGGGAGAGGCAAGGGGAAUUCCUGGUGUAGCGGUGAAAUGCGUAGAUAUCAGGAGGAACACCGGUGGCGUAAGCGCCUUGCUGGCCUAAAAUUGACGCUGAGAUACGAAAGUGUGGGGAGUGAACGGGAUUAGAUACCCCGGUAAUCCACACCAUAAACGUUGUCUACCAGUCGUUAGAGGUAUCAACCCUUCUAGUGACGAACCUAACGGAUUAAGUAGACCGCCUGGGGACUAUGCUCGCAAGAGUA